rnacentral:lncRNA from 1 species
UACUCAAUUGUAGUGAAGAAAGUAAGAAAUGCACAAGCAAAUGAUCGUUAUUAAUGGUGAAACUAGAUUGUUCAGUCAUCAUAAGCAUAGAGACGAAAAUGUUAGAGAUACUUAAAACAUUUUUAAUCUAAUAAAGCACAACACCAACCAUACAUCCAUAUUGAAGAACUUGAUCUCGCACUGUCAUUGGCUCUAUUCCCCUGCCUGCACAUUGGCUCUAAUAUUUUAAACUCUUCUUUUGGCAUUGAAUCAAAUCGCUGAUACCAAAAAAUAAAACUUGCCUCUUAAGUGUAGCUACCAGCUCGAUCACUUGGUAUCACACGCAGGACCUAUGAUGAGAUUGAAUGGUACCUCAAUCUCCUUGGCGAGGCUGACAUUUUUGAAACCCACAGAGCGGUGGAAGGAUUUCUUGGCGAUGGCGUUGGUGAAGCAUUUGUCUAUGGUGUCCUCGACCGCGUACACCGCAUCCCUCAUCUGCCUCUCCAGCAGGGACGGAGCCAGGAAUUAAGUUCGGG